GGAUACAAUUUGUGAAGCACAGGAG
rnacentral:misc_RNA from 1 species